CCCGCAAGGGGAGUGGCAGACGGGUGAGUAACGCGUGGGAACAUACCCUUUCCUGCGGAAUAGCUCCGGGAAACUGGAAUUAAUACCGCAUACGCCCUACGGGGGAAAGAUUUAUCGGGGAAGGAUUGGCCCGCGUUGGAUUACCUAGUUGGUGGGGUAAAGGCCUACCAAGGCGACGUAUCCAUAGCUGGUCUGAGAGGAUGAUCAGCCACAUUGGGACUGAGACACGCCCAAACUCCUACGGGAGGCAGCAGUGGGGAAUAUUGGACAAUGGGCGCAAGCCUGAUCCAGCCAUGCCGCGUGAGUGAUGAAGGCCUUAGGGUUGUAAAGCUCUUUCACCGGAGAAGAUAUUGACGGUAUCCGGAGAAGAAGCCCCGGCUAACUUCGUGCCAACAGCCGCGGUAAUACGAAGGGGGCUAGCGUUGUUCGGAAUUACUGGGCGUAAAGCGCACGUAGGCGGAUAUUUAAGUCAGGGGUGAAAUCCCAGAGCUCAACUCUGGAACUGCCUUUGAUACUGGGUAUCUUGAGUAUGGAAGAGGUAAGUGGAACUUCCGAGUGUAGAGGUGAAAUUCGUAUAUAUUCGGAGGAACACCAGUGGCGAAGGCGGCUUACUGGUCCAUUACUGACGCUGAGGUGCGAAAGCGUGGGGGAGCAAACAGGAUUAGAUACCCUGGUAGUCCACGCCCGUAAACGAUGAAUGUUAGCCGUCAGGGCAGUAUACUGUUCGGAGUCGCACUAACGCAUUAAACAUUCCGCCUGGGGAGUACGGUCGCAAGAUUAAAACUCAAAGGAAUUGACCGGGGGCCCGCACAAGCGGUGGAGCAUGUGGUUUAAUUCGAAGCAACGCGCAGAACCUUACCAGCUCUUGACAUUCGGGGUUUGGGCAGUGGAGACAUUGUCCUUCAGUUAGGCUGGCCCCAGAACAGGUGCUGCAUGGCUGUCGUCAGC
rnacentral:rRNA from 1 species